GCGACCGGCGCACGGGUGAGUAACGCGUAUGCAAUCUACCUUAUACUGAGGGAUAGCCCGAAGAAAUUCGGAUUAAUACCUCAUAGUAUUAAAUCACUGCAUAGUGAUUUGAUUAAAGCUCCGGCGGUAUAAGAUGAGCAUGCGUCCCAUUAGCUAGAUGGUAAGGUAACGGCUUACCAUGGCAACGAUGGGUAGGGGGCCUGAGAGGGUGGUCCCCCACACUGGUACUGAGACACGGACCAGACUCC
rnacentral:rRNA from 1 species